rnacentral:rRNA from 6 species
GAAAAUAACUAUGAUUCCCUUAGUAACGGCGAGUGAACAGGGAGAAGCCCAAAUUUGUAAUCUGGCACUUUUUACAAGUGUCCGAGUUGUAAUUUGUAGAACUGUUAUCCGUGCUGGACCAUGUACAAGUCUGUUGAAAAGCAGCAUCGUUGAAGGUGAAAAUCCUGUAGAUGAUAUGGACUACCAGUACUCUUGUGAUACGGUUUCUAAGAGUCGAGUUGUUUGGGAAUGCAGCUCAAAGUGGGUGGUAAAUUCCAUCUAAGGCUAAAUAUAAGUGAGAGACCGAUAGCAAACAAGUACCGUGAGGGAAAGAUGAAAAGAACUUUGAAAAUAGAGUUAACAGUACGUGAAAUUGCUGAAAGGUAAACGUUUGAAGUUAGUUUUGUAUUCGUUGGAUCAGCUUCGCAAGGAGUGUAUUCUGAUGAUAAGCAAGUCAACAUCAGUCUAUGAGUGUUGGAGAAGGGUUUUGAGAAUGUAGCAAUUUAAUUGUGUUAUAGCUUGAGACUUGGAUACGAUGCUUUGGAUUGAGGAACGCGUAGUAAGCUUUGAGCGGAUUCGAAAGGAUCUCCUUACUAUGGAUGUUGGUGAAAUAACUUUAAGCGACC